AUUGCUUCUCGGCCUUUUGGCUAAGAUCAAGUGUAGUCAUAAUGUUUAGAGAUUAUUAUAAACAUAUCAUAAAGUAAUAUUUGGUGAUAUCUGCAACAACUGUAAAGUGAGAGGAAGAGGUAUGAGAUUUUGAUUGGUGAUAAAGUCACAGUUACUGCACAUACUACUGUUGUCUGUUCCUACUU